GACCAUCUUGCAUCAAGACAGCCCUCAUCCCUGUAGAACAAGCAUCAGUUUCUACAAUAAAUGGCUUAUUAAAGUCAGCCAAGGCUAAAACAGGAGCUGAAGACAUGGCUAUCUUUAGCUUAUUGAAGGCAGUUUCAGCUUCCUCAGACCACUGAAAUGAGUUCUUCUUCAGUAAAUUGGUGAGAGGUUUGUUGAUAAUUCCAUAAGACUUGACAAAUCUCCUAUAGUAACCAGUGAGACCCAAAAAUCCUCUAAGAGCCUUAACAGAUUUGGGAACAGGCCAAUUGAUCAUGGCCUCAUUCUUAGCAGGAUCAGUAGCUACCCCUUGGCCUGAAAUAAUAUGCCCCAAAUACUCCACUUGACUUUGACCAAAAGCACAUUUAGACAACUUAGCAUACAUUUGCUCUUUCUGUAACACCUCUAAUACCCAACUAAGAUGCAUAACAUGACUCUCCAUUGAAGGACUGUAGACCAAUAUAUCAUCAAAAUAUACCAGCACAAAUUUCCUAAGGAAAGGCAUGAAUACAUGAUUCAUUAAACCUUGAAAGGUAGCAGGUGCAUUACUUACCCCAGAUGGCAUAACCAUGAACUUAUGUGUCCCAAGUGAGUCCUAAAUGCAGUCUUGUAUAUGCUAGAUUCCUUCAUUCUAAUCUGGUGAUAACCAGCCCUUAAAUCAAUCUUUGAAUAAAUGCAUGAACCAUUUAAUUCAUCCAUGAGAUCAUCUACUAGAGGUAUAGGAAAUUUGUCUUUCACAAUCAUUUUGUUUAAUUCUCUGUAAUCUAUACAAAACCUCCAACUAUCAUCCUUUUUUAACCAAUAACACUGGUGAGGAGAAAGGAGAGUGACUAGGCUGAAUGGUACCACUAUUAAGCAUGUCAUUCACUUAUUUUUCUAUAUCAUUCUUUUGAAAAUGGUUAUGCUUGUAGGGCCUAAUGUUGACUGGAGAUGCAUUUGAUUUGAGAGGGAUGUAGUGAUCAUGACUCCUCUGUGGUGGCAGAGACUUUGGCUCAGCAAAAAACUCCUGGAAAUACAUUCAACAGCCUCCUAAUUUGUUCAGGUAUGCUUCUUUCUUCUAUAGUAGGUUCAGCAGUAAUUGUGAAGAGAUGAGCCCACCACAGUUCGCCUUUCUUGAGCAGCUGCUUCACCCCUACAGCUAGCAAACUCUGUAAACUCCCCUCUUCAGAAAAACCCUUCAAUUCUACUCUCUUUCCCUUCACACUUACCUGUGAUCUAUAUCCAAUAAAAUCAAACAAUAUAGGAUUGUGCUUUCUCAUCCAAUCCACUCCUAAUACCAUAUCACAUCUCCCAAUGUCUAACAUUCUCAGCUUGUGUUCAAAUUCAAUGCCUUGCAUUUUCCAUUUGAACUGAGGGCAAGAAUGAUAACUCAUCAAGUUACUCCCAUUUGCAGUUGUAACUCUCAUUGGAGCAUCUACCUGAAUCACACACCCCAAUUGUUUUGCAGUUUCACUUGCUACAAAACUAUGGGUGCUACCACGGUCUGCCAAUAUUACCAUAGUAGUAGAUGUGACUGUCCCAGAUAAGGCAUUGAGACUUAUUGCCUCAUUAAUUAUUAUUUCCUGACUUUGCUCCUGCACUAUUCCCUCUUCCCCAGCAUUCAUGUCUACCUCUUCUUGUUUAGUAGACCCAGACAAUGCAUUUAGCUGUUUAUUCUUACAUUGAUGGCCAAGGAAAUAUUCUGUCCACACUUAUAACAUUCACCUCUUGCUCUUCUUGCCUCAAAUAAUUUGUUGCCCACAUUGUAGGAGGUAGAUCCCCAUUCCUUCUGCUGAACCCCAGAUGUUCUCAUUGCUGCUUGGCCAUUAUUAUUGUUGUACUGUACUGACUACCUAGUAAUAUUUACUUUACCCUUUUUAGCUACUGCUUCUAACAACUUCUCUUUAUUCCUAGCCUUCUCCACUGCUUGGCUCAAGGAGAAAGGAUCAAGCAUCUUGACUGUGUGCCUAAUUUCAUCCUUGAGUCCUUCAAUAAAGAAAUUCUUCAGGGAUAGUGGGUGUUUAAUCAAGACCCAAGCCUUCAAAUCUUCAAAUAUGGCCAGGUAAUUAUUCGCUGAUCCUUGCUGCUCAAUUCUUUUGAACUCUCCUAAGAUAUUAAGAUUGCUAUUAUCCGACUCCUCAAAUCUUUAACUGAUUUUUUCUACAAACUCAGGCCAUCUCACACUACCUCUGCUUAGAUGAUAAGAGAAAUACCAGGAUUCAGCCCUUCUAUUGAGAUGAAGGACAUCAGCCUCUAACUUCUCCUGAAGAUCAGUUAUCUGAUUGAAGUGGAAGUAUCUUUCACACUUGCGGAGCCAAGAUCUGGA
rnacentral:lncRNA from 1 species